rnacentral:rRNA from 1 species
UGAGGAAUAUUGGUCAAUGGGCGCAAGCCUGAACCAGCCAUGCCGCGUGCAGGAUGACGGUCCUAUGGAUUGUAAACUGCUUUUGUACGAGAAGAAACACUGAUUCGUGAAUCAGCUUGACGGUAUCGUAAGAAUAAGGAUCGGCUAACUCCGUGCCAGCAGCCGCGGUAAUACGGAGGAUCCAAGCGUUAUCCGGAAUCAUUGGGUUUAAAGGGUCCGUAGGCGGUCUUGUAAGUCAGUGGUGAAAGCCCAUCGCUCAACGGUGGAACGGCCAUUGAUACUGCUAAACUUGAAUUAUUAGGAAGUAACUAGAAUAUGUAGUGUAGCGGUGAAAUGCUUAGAGAUUACAUGGAAUACCAAUUGCGAAGGCAGGUUACUACUAAUGGAUUGACGCUGAUGGACGAAAGCGUGGGUAGCGAACA